CUUUAUGCUUGUGUUUGGUUUUGAUUUUGUAGGUGAGGGUUAAGCCUGGCAUUGUUGAAGUGGAGCUUGAUUUGUCCAUGGAUGUUGAUUCCCAGAAUUAUGACCAAGACUGUGGUACCAGACUAAAGAUGACAAAGCAGACUUUGUGUAGUUUAUGGAAGACACCUCGAGCAACUGGCUACGCUGUUGAAGUUUUAAUGGUUACACCUCAAUCCUAUUCAAGCAGCCGCACAGCUUUGUCCAUCACUGAAUCAUUUGAGUUCUGGUGGCUCUAAGAGGAAGGAUAAUGUUACAGGAGAUGCCGAAGAUAAAAUUAAAUUAGAAGAAUCUAAACCUGUUGGUUCAUCAAAGAAGCAGAUUAAGCAGGAGAAUUCAAUGGAGCAGAAAACUGCAACUGGGGAGGUAUUAGUUGCUAUUGAUAAUAAGUGGAAUUUCAUGUUCAGAACGAAUGAUUUAAUUCUAGUGAUCAUUUUAUUUAAGAUACUUUCCCAUCUCAUCUUCAAAUGCUUUCUUUUCAUUCAUUGAAACAUUUUGCAUGGUACUAAUAACUGUUUAGAAGUACUCCUUGUACGGAUCUUUAAAUGUAAUGUCCUCC